AAAUGUCUCUCUCAUCUCUCGCCAUUCAUCCUCUUCCCCUCUCUCACAUCGGGGUGGUCUCUCACCGGCGAUCUCCACGUUGCUCUUGUGGUGAGCGGUAGGGCGGCAGGGGCCAAGUAGGUGUGAGCUAGUGGCCUGUUUUUUGUUGGCUGCGGGCAAGCGCAGACGGGAACUGCUGCGGCGGAGCCCGGCCCAAGAGGGGACCCGACCUGACGGUGUUGUGGCCAGCACGGGCAGCGACGGAGGGGAUGUGGCCGGCGAGGGGAGGAGCGGCGGCGGAGUUUGAUAUGAAUCUCGUUGGGUACGGGGUUGUUCGACGGCGGGGACCUGGGUGAUUGUUGGCCGCCGGAGCUAGGCGAGGAUGGAGCGGGUGGCGGCGGCGCAACUUCUUGUUAAGUACUAUAUUGCAUCCACAGUGUAUUAGAAGGGUAGCAGCUUUUAUACUUGCUGGGCGUUUUGGUAGAUGGACAAGAAGUUAGAGCAGGAACGCGAGGUGAUGGUCGAGAAGAUGAAAAAAUAAUGUGAUGUCGUGGAACAGAGGAUAAAGCAGAAUGUGAAAACAUGUUCCGUGAGUUGAAGAUAGUCCAUGAGGAGAUGGACAAAAAGGUGCAACAAGAGCGCGAGGAGAUGGACCAAAAGGAGCAACGGGAGCGCGAGUCAGGACGAAUUAUCAGCUUAGUCACAUUUACUUCAGCUUGGCAUGUGAUCCAAAACUUAGAAUAUGUGGUUCUUGAAAAACUGGCAUAUUGAGUUUUGAAUCAUUUUUUAAUCAUUCUAUCAAACAUUUAUUUAUUUAAUCAAGAUGUUCUUUACUUGA